CCUGUGUAUAUAUUUAAUCCAUUUACAUUUAAAGUCACUAUUGACAAGGAAGGACUUACUAGUGCCAUUUUCUCGUUUUCUGUAUAUCUUAUACUUUUUGUCUCUCUUUUCUUACCUUGCUGCCUUCUUUUGCAUUUUGUUGAUUGUUUUUGUAGUGAUAUUAUGGACUGCAUGUUUGUGUGCUCCUAAAAUUCAUAUAUUGAAAUCCUAACCCUCAAUGGGAUGAUAUUUGGAGGUGGAGUCUUCGGGAAGUAGUUAGGUUUAGAUGAAGUCAUGGGGCUUGGACCCCCUGAUGGGAUUAGUGCUCUUACAAGGACAGGAAGGAAUCAGAGCUCUCCUUCUCUCCCCAUCAUGUGAGAAUACAGCAAAAAGGUGGCUGUCUAUAAACCAGGAAGUGGUUGCAUCAGACACUAAUCUGCCAGCACCGGGAUUUCAGACUUCCCAGCCUUCACAACUCUCGUGCUUGGCAACACCUAGGGUGGCUGCGUAAGCAAAAGGAGGAAAAGAUGGAAGGAGAAGACAAAGACUCGGCUCGCUCAGCAGCUCGAGAUUUCGAAACAAGACGUCGCCAAACUGCCGACUUCUUUUGCCUUUGGUUCCUUUUUGCAGUAUUAUUAAUAAAGCAAGAAAGAAAAGAUAAGGAUGGAAAGAUUUAACAAAAGGAAAACACAGUCUCUAGUGCAAUUUUUCUUAGUUUCUUUUGUUUCCUCAGCCAUGUUGGCCAUAAUCAGACUGCAGGUUGAAAAAGGAGAAAAGCGGACCCUUCCAAACUGGAAAAUUGAGAAAUUUACGUUCAUCAAUUAACGUGGAGAAGGCACACUAUGGCCGCGAUAGUUCCUUUGAGAAGUACAUUUGGCUGAAAAUCUCAAAAUUCACAGAUUAAUUUCCAGUUUUGUUCUGUCUUUACUCUUAGCCGAGAAUUGGACUUAAAUAGAUGACUUAAAUUUACCUGAGAUAGUAGCGCCCUCUACCGGGAAGAAAUUUUCCAAAUGCUUUGUCAGUGUGGUCCUUGGACCAAAAAAGUUGGCGGCUCCUGAGAGCUUGUUAGAAACGCAGAAUGUCAGCUCCAUCCCAGACCCGCUGAACUAGAACCAGCAUUUCAACAGGAUCCCCAAGUGAUUCUUUUGCACACUAAAGUUUGAGAAUCACUGUUUUGAGUGCUGUGACGUGGAUCAAGAGGACAUAUAUUAUAAAUAUAUGGCUGUAUUUUAAUUUUUCCAAUUUCCUAUUCCAAUGUAGGAAAAAAAUAAAAAUAAAUGUUAUUUCUAUUGUUGAAC
rnacentral:lncRNA from 1 species